CUUUUGGGAGUCUUAUUACAACAAUUAUGGAUGAUUAAGCUAUAUUUAAAAAAGGAGGAAAAAAGCAGUUCCAUGACCAAUAGCACUAACAAAAGCUGGAAACCAGUGCGAACAUGAUUACACAGAGGAAACUCAUACAGCUUUCAUCUGGCAGAAGGCUGGGAAGGACAGUUUGGUGCAAGGGUCAAACCCAAAAGCACCAAAUUUCUGCAAUGUCAUGUACAAGCAUGCCCUCCUCUCUGGUCUCCAAAAAUCUUGCUCUCUUGGCAGUACAUAACACCACCACCACAGCCCUGGACAAGUGGAGAUGGCUGCAGUGCCUCUAUCAUCAGCUGCUGCCAAAAGGAUGCCUUGGGAACACAGGCAGUCUCUUAGAAAAUGGAGUUGUUCUCAGGAUGCUCUGAUUCACAGGGGACCAGGCUGGCAUAUACUAGAAAGAACUGGGAA
rnacentral:lncRNA from 1 species